ensembl:lncRNA
CAGUAAAAUUUGCAGUGUGUUGAAAUCACAUUGUAAACUUCAACUUGCACUUAUAGUGUAGAUUCCUCUACAGGUAGAGUCGAUUCCUCUACAGAAGUUACAUUUGAAAUCCAGAGCUAAAAACAUUAGUGGAAAGAAUGCUCCACCCCUAUUUUUUGGAACAACGCAGCCAGACCUCAAGAAUCAGCGCCAUUUUGAAGAGGCUCCAAUAGAAAGGCAAACGGAUCAUGUUGGUCAAAGUCAAGUUCAGAGGCAUCCAGAAAUUCAUCAGCAUUUCUGAAGCCAAGAUCAGUGAACUGCUUGAGUGUGCAUUCCAGAAGUUUUGUUUGUCAAGACUGUCAAGACAUCUCCCUCAGCCAAUUGCCUAAUGCAAAGCUCUUUAAUGACUCUAAAACUGAGGUUGACCAGGAGGUGUUUGGAGAAGUGAUUGGUGCAAAUACUGGUGUUUAUGAGCUAUCCAUUGAUGGUGUCUCUGAAGGAGACCUUGGAGGUGCUCUUUUACCUGAUUGGAUGAAAAUGGUUGUCUUGACGUAAAAUAUGAACUUUACGUAAAAUAUUGCUAUGCCGGUUUUGUUUCUGAGGCACCAGCUGUUGGCCAGUCGACACCAGCUGUAAGUCAAGAGGACUCUGAUACUGACUCUACUCUCAUUCUGAGCGAUGAAAGUCCCCAGCGGAAACGGUCAAGACCAAAUAGGUCUGAGGCCCAUGCAACUCUACCUGCUCCCUGCAAAGUUCUAUUUUCCCAACACAGUAAUCUGAUGGCAACCGGCAGAAGCUCUUAAUUAAUGCGCAAAAGUCUCCUGGAUCCAUUCACUUCAAGUUU